GCGCAUUGCAUCUGAUUCAGCCUCUUGAGGAGAAAGACUUCAUACUGAUCCAAAUAGACUCCCGAGAGGCAGAAAGAGGAAAAUGAUAAAUAAAUGCCAGCCAAGCUCUAAAAUGGAACACUCUAGCUGUGUGGCCACGGAGAAAGAACUGAUCAGAGAAGCCUGAGAUGCUCACCUUAAUAUGUGUUUCCUGGCCUGAAGGGCAAUUCCUACCUUGAGAGAGGUUGGUACUAAGCUUCCUUCACUUCCCACUCAGACAUGCUACGAGACUGCCCUUCCCAGUUAUCUUAGCACCCAGGGGACCUUGUGACAAGCUUUUACCAAUGAAAUUUAAAGAGGAGUGUUGAAUCACUUCCAGCAGAGACAGUCAAGAGUAGGUGGGGCCUCUCCAACGUCGUUC
rnacentral:lncRNA from 1 species